AGAGUUUGAUCCUGGCUCAGGAUGAUUUUCGGCGGUGUGCCUAAUACAUGCAAGUCGUACGCACUGGCCCAACUGAUUGAUGGUGCUUGCACCUGAUUGACGAUGGAUCACCAGUGAGUGGCGGACGGGUGAGUAACACGUAGGUAACCUGCCCCGGAGCGGGGGAUAACAUUUGGAAGCAGAUGCUAAUACCGCAUAACAACAAAAGCCACAUGGCUUUUGUUUGAAAGAUGGCCUUGGCUAUCACUCUGGGAUGGACCUGCGGUGCAUUAGCUAGUUGGUAAGGUAACGGCUUACCAAGGCGAUGAUGCAUAGCCGAGUUGAGAGACUGAUCGGCCACAAUGGAACUGAGACACGGUCCAUACUCCUACGGGAGGCAGCAGUAGGGAAUCUUCCACAAUGGGCGCAAGCCUGAUGGAGCAACACCGCGUGAGUGAAGAAGGGUUUCGGCUCGUAAAGCUCUGUUGUUGGAGAAGAACGUGCGUGAGAGUAACUGUUCACGCAGUGACGGUAUCCAACCAGAAAGUCACGGCUAACUACGUGCCAGCAGCCGCGGUAAUACGUAGGUGGCAAGCGUUAUCCGGAUUUAUUGGGCGUAAAGCGAGCGCAGGCGGUUGCUUAGGUCUGAUGUGAAAGCCUUCGGCUUAACCGAAGAAGUGCAUCGGAAACCGGGCGACUUGAGUGCAGAAGAGGACAGUGGAACUCCAUGUGUAGCGGUGGAAUGCGUAGAUAUAUGGAAGAACACCAGUGGCGAAGGCGGCUGUCUGGUCUGCAACUGACGCUGAGGCUCGAAAGCAUGGGUAGCGAACAGGAUUAGAUACCCUGGUAGUCCAUACCGUAAACGAUGAGU
rnacentral:rRNA from 1 species